rnacentral:rRNA from 1 species
GACGAACGCUGGCGGCGUGCCUAAUACAUGCAAGUAGAACGCACAGUUUAUACCGUAGCUUGCUACACCAUAGACUGUGAGUUGCGAACGGGUGAGUAACGCGUAGGUAACCUGCCUGGUAGCGGGGGAUAACUAUUGGAAACGAUAGCUAAUACCGCAUAAUAUUAAUUAUUGCAUGAUAAUUAAUUGAAAGGUGCAAUUGCACCACUACCAGAUGGACCUGCGUUGUAUUAGCUAGUAGGUGAGGUAACGGCUCACCUAGGCGACGAUACAUAGCCGACCUGAGAGGGUGAUCGGCCACACUGGGACUGAGACACGACCCAGACUCCUACGGGAGUCAGCAGUAGGGAAUCUUCGGCAAUGGACGAAAGUCUGACCGAGCAACGCCGCGUGAGUGAAGAAGGUUUUCGGAUCGUAAAGCUCUGUUGUAAGAGAAGAACGGGUGUGAGAGUGGAAAGUUCACACUGUGACGGUAUCUUACCAGAAAGGGAGGGCUAACUACGUG